CUAGAUGGGAAAUCCUACUUGACGUACCAUAACAAUAAAGACAUAUUUUUUGGAGUGUAUGUGAUUUGCUGCUGUUUUCAUUUUCAUUUUGAGAAUGAUUUGUAGCAUACCGUAAGUUCAACGUUAACUAUUAUGAAGAAUACAAAGUAACAGGCAUUGGAAAGUUAUAAUCCUACAGCUAAGAGACCAGACUAUUCCAUUCUCAUCCAUCUUCGCUCAAGUCAGCACACCUCAUGGUCAUUCGACAGACACUUUUCUCCUGCAUGGCAGUUCAAGCUAGAUUAUACGGUCUUGAAGAAUGGUUCUUAUCUUUCUAAACAACUCUUGUAAGUUACAAGAUAUGUAUCUUAUAAAAGCAGAUUUCCUUCCUCAAAGGUACAGUUCUGAAGUAGUACGAUAGUCUUACAUAUUUUUACCCAUUCCUCAAGAAAAUAUUGUUGACUCGAUAAAUCAAAAUAUAUAACUUUUUCACUUAA